AUUUUUUGUGAGUACUUUGUCAAAUUAAAGAUUAUUUUACUUAGAAUCGGGUUGAAACCUUUCUUUUCCCAGCAUGCAAAACUCUCUUUAAAGAUAAAUGUUGCAGUGGUAUUUUUAAUUAUUGAGGCUGGGCACUUGUUUCCUCUUUACAUUCACAUACUUCCAAAGGGAUUUGGAACAUGGAAGAGUUCCAUAGCUGUUUAGAGAAAUGGGGACUUAGGUCUCUCUAAUUACAAACAUUACUUCCCAGUUGUAGCUAAGUUCAGGCUCUAUUCUCUAUAGUACGGAACCUUCCAAGUUGUGUUACAUCAAUAUAAUGUAUGAUCUGUGUGUUCUGGAACAUCCAAACUUUGGUGAGUCUCUAGGAUACACGAAGGCCAGUUUGUUUCAGCUAGCUUUGCUGUGAGUUAUUUUUCUUUUUUCUAUGUGGUUAGUGAUUAGUGAAUUACCAAAUAAACAUUUAACUUAGGAAAUAAAAUUUCAUAAAUUUCUCCUCCUUCCCAAGCAAUCGUAGCUUAAACACGAUGUAGCAAUAGCGUAGUCUGUGUGUCUACAGGCUGACUACCCGAAGUUGUGCCUGAACACUACCCAUAAGCUUAAAAUGACCAGAAACUGCUCAUUUUGUGGUAAUCAUGAUAUCAUGAUGGAUUUCUGCUCACCUAUCAAAAUUUUAUACCAUAUCCAAAUAGGUUUAAGUAAUAUUAGCAAAGGAAAAUAUUUCUGAGGUAUAAUUUUUAAAAAUAAUGCUAAUGUUUAACACAAUACUUAUUUAUAAUGAAGUGUAAGCGGCUCAUAUUUCUGCUUAAGGUUAUGCUAUUUCCCUCUAUUUUGUGAAAUAAUAUUAGUAGCUAAUAUUUAUAUUAACAGUGUCCGUAUGCCAGGCACUAUUCAAAGUGUUUUAUAUAUAUUAGAUCACUUAAUAUUCACAACUUUGUGUAGCAGACGUUGUUAUAAUCACAAUCCCAUUUUACAGAUGAAGAAAAUGAGGCACAGAGAUUAAGUAAAUUGUCCCUGAUCAUAAAGGCAACAGGAAUUCUGGUUGGAAUAGAAAGCAUAGCCUCUUGGGAUUAUUGGUGUCCUUGCUCACUCAGUUGUAGACACAACACACUUACUGUGCACUUGAUUUGAGUCUCUCUAAACUUCAGCUUAUUAUGUGGUAUCCUUGAAUUCCUGUGCUCAUGGACCUCAGGAAUACACAUCGAGAUUGGGAGAAAAGAGGAGCAAGGACCAGCCCUGGGACGCUCCAACGUUGAAGAAUCAGGGAGAAGAGGAGGAUCCAGUUGAGGAGAACGAGGAGGAGAAAUCAAGGAGGGAGGAGAAAAAGCAAGAAAAGGGAUUCUAAGUGGAAACUAGCAAGUGCACUCAAUGUUGUUGAAAAGUCAAGCCGGAUGUAGCCUGAGAAUUGACUACUUGCUUGAACCACACGGGUCAUUGGUGACCUGGGCUAAAGCACUUUUGGUGGAGUGAACUCUAAUUAUGAUGGAUUCAAGAGGAACAGAAUCUAUGUCUCAUGUUUCAUUAUGUAAAGAAAUCUCUCACUUCCUCUGUGUUUCUUCAUUUCUGCAUUUCUGCCAACCCCCUCAAUUGGGAUAAACCAAACCAGUAUCUUUAUCCAGAGUAUCUUUACUUCUCAGAAAGUGGAAGAAUGGAAAUAAUUAUAUGUAUUUUAGUACUUUAUCCCCAUCUCAUCCAUUGGUCUGGUCUGUUUGUAGAAUCCCUGAAAUUGUCCCUGUAUUUCAACCUUACCACUUGGCAUG